GGCCGCUUCUGUGGCAUAUGGAGGUUCCCAGGCUAGGGGUCAAAUCGGAGCUGCAGCCGCCAGCCUAUGCCAGAGCCACAGCAACAUGGGAUCCGAGCCACGUCUGCAACCUACACCACAGCUCACGGCAACGCCGGAUCGUUAACCCACUGAGCGAGGCCAGGGAUGGAACCCACAACCUCAUGGUUCCCAGUUGGAUUGUUAACCACAGAGCCACAACAGGAACUCCAAAACCUAUGUUUUUAAAGAGAGGGCUUAUAUUUUGGAGCUUUGUUUAAAAAUACUUCUGAAUGAAGUGACCUGUUGAGAAUAGUCCAGAUGGUUGAAAGAGAUAGGCCAUGAGUUGAUAAUUGUUGGAGCUGGGGAUGGAAUAUGAGGGCUCAUUCUACUUAAGAGGGUGAAUGAACUGUUCCAGGAUAAAAAGCUAAACAAAAAUAUAUGCACUCUUCAGGUAGGGACAUUUUCACUGUCCCAACUAUCUUCUCUGAAGCUGUCUCUUUGGAGUUUUCUCCCUUGGUUCUUGCUGCCACUACCAGGAUGGCUCCCAGAAUGCAUGGUUUCCUCCUCUAUGGCUCUGGCACCAGGUAGAGAGAAUUGCUGCUGCCCUUUGUGAGGGAGAGACAAGGUGGAGCUUUACAAACCACUAGACCAAAUUCUGAGGGAAACAUCUCUAGUCCCAUCAUCACUAGCCUCACCACAGGCUGCAUCUUGUGUGUUCACCCUUUAUCCUAAGGUAUCAUUAUCCUUGCUACUUAAAGGGUGGCAUGAGGUAGGAAGAGCAGUGUUAGCACCAUCUGGGAACCUGCUAGAAAUGUAGAAGCCAGGCCCUACCCUGGACCUCCUGAACUGGAAUCUCCAUUCACCAGCAUUCCCAGGGGAGCCUAUCACAUGAUCAAGAGUGUAAAGCCUGGAAGUAAGGCAGCUCCACUCUAAUCCCAAAGAGCUGGUGGGCCCUGGGUGGCCAUGCCUGGGUCCAAGGACCCCUGAUCCUCUCCCAGAAGGGGAUGUCCUCCCUAUGCAUCCUUCCUGAUGAACCAUCGCCACUGUAACAUCCCCCUCUUGAAUAAACAAUUAAUCAUUUAAACACAUCCUGCUGUGGCCACACCAAGGGCUCUGGGUGUGGGCCCUACUUCCCUCAGAGUCACUGCCACCACAGAGGGCUCUGCAACCAGGAACAGCCUGCAUCUCCCACCUCCCCAUGGAUCCCCACCACUGCCAAGGACGUGGUAAUCAGGUACCACAUGCAGGGCGUCCCUCUGCACCCACCUCAGCACAGGCAGGCCAUGCAUCUGCACACCCCCUAUUAAGGGGAUAACAAUCGGCACACACUGAGACAGCAAGCAUCCAAACCAAAAGCAGCUCUCACGGCAAAAAAAUAGUAAGCCCUCACAAGCUACCCAGAAGCACUCCGUAUAUAAAUAGCCCUCCAAGACUACAGUAGAUAAUUGUUUUCCCUAAAUUCACAGAGUAAGAAAAAUAUAAGCAAAAUGAAGAAGCAUAGGAACCACUCCCAGUUAAAAGAACAGGAUUCCCCUGAAGGAGCAAACAAGGAAACAGACCUCGGCAGUCUAACAGGUAUCAAGUUCAAAAAGGAGGUAAUGAAAAUACUGAAGGAAAUAAGAACAGAUAUCAACAGUAAUGCAGAUUACUUUAAAAAGAAAUCAGAGGGAGUUCCCAUUGUGGUGCAGUAGAACUGAAUCCAACUAGUAUGCAUGAGCAUGCAGGUUCAAUCCCUGGCCUCACUCAGUGGGUUAUGGACCCAGCAUUGCUGUGAGCUGUGGUGUAGGUCACAGAUGUGGUUCGGAUCCUGCAUUGCUGUGGCUGUGGUGUAGCCCAGCAGCUGUAGCUUCAAUAUGACCCCUAGCCUGGGAACUCCUAUAUGCUGCGGGUGCAGCCCUAAAAUGCAAAAAAAAAGGGGAGGGGACUAGAAACUAUAGGGAGGAGCCAAGAAAAAUUAGGAAUUUCAUUUGCAGAGAUGAAGUCUGACUUAAAGACAUUGAAGAGCAGAAUGAAUAAUGUGGAAUCACAAAUAAGAGACUUAGAAGAUAGAAUAAUGAAAAUCACCCAAUCAGGACAGCAGACAGAAAACAAAAUAAAAAAAAUGAAAGCAAUAUAAGAGACCUAUGGGAUAAUAUAAAGGGGGCCAAACUACACAUAAUAGGAAUUCCAGGAGAAGAUGGAAAAGAAGGGGGAUUGAAAAUAUAUUUGAAGAAAUUGUGUCUGAAACCUUUCCAAAUCUAAAGAAGGAAACAUAUCAAGAUACAGGAAGAAGAGAGGGCCCCAAACAAGCUGAAACCAAGACAUAUUGUAAUAAAAACGGCAAAAGUUCAAGAUAAGAGGAGGAUUCUAAAGGCAGCAAGAGAAAAACAAAGACUUAAUUAUAAGGGAACCCCCAAAAGGCUAUCAGUUGAUUUAUCUGCAGAAAUGCUACAGGCCAGAAGAUGGUGGCAAGAUGUAUUCAAAGUUCUAAAAGGGAAAAAUUUGCAGCCUAGACUACUCUACUCAACAAGAUUAUCAUUUAAAAUAGAAAGAAAAAUAAAGAAUUUCUCAGACAAACAGAAAACUAAGAGAAUACAUCGAUACUAAAUUCACUCUAAAAGAAAUACUGAAAGGUCUCUAAAUAGGAAACAAGCAAGAAAAUAUGAGAUGGAGGAAAUCACAAACUGAAAAGCAAUCACUUAAAUUAGCCAGCAUACAGAUUAAAAAGGGGGAAAGCCCACCUAUUUGUGAAAGCAAUAAUAAACACAAGGAACAGCAAAAGGAUAAACAUGAAGACAAAAAAAGGACAUCAAAAUGUGGGGAAGGAGAGUAAGAAAUCUAGCCUCUUUUUUAGAACGUGUUUGAGCCUAUAUGACUAUCAACCUAAAGCAAGCAGAAAUAGGAAAGGUUAAUAUACUUGAAAAAAAGAGGCAAUUACAAAUCAAAACCAAACAAUGCAUUCACAAAAACUAAAAAGAAGAUGACACAAGCAAAAAAUAAAAAGAAAUCAU
rnacentral:lncRNA from 1 species